AUGUCAUGUUCAGGUACUAUAGAAAAAAUAACUUCGAAAUCCGAGCCAAUUUUUCGUAGUCGAUUAGUUAACAUGGUGGUUAACUGUAUUAUGAAAGACGGAAAAAAACAUUGGCUUAUCAAAUUAUCUAUCGAGCCGUGAAAAAUAUUCAACAAAAGACAGAAACAAAUACAUUAUUGGUUUUACGUCAAGCAAUACAUAGAGUAA
rnacentral:rRNA from 1 species